GACGAACCGAGCGAACGUUGUUCGGAAUCACUGGGCUUAAAGGGCGCGUAGGCGGGUCUGCAAGUCUGUGGUGAAAUCCUCCGGCUCAACCGGAGAACUGCCUCGGAUACUGCGGGUCUCGAGGGUGAUAGGGGUAUGCGGAACUAUCGGUGGAGCGGUGAAAUGCGUUGAUAUCGAUAGGAACUCCGGUGGCGAAGGCGGCAUACUGGAUCACUUCUGACGCUGAGGCGCGAAAGCCAGGGGAGCAAACGGG
rnacentral:rRNA from 1 species